UCUGUUGUUGGCUCCAUUGCUCCUAGACUUCUGUGAGGCCCAUCAUGGUAGAAAGAAUGUGUGACAGAUAGGCUGCUCUGGUAAUGGCAGCCGAGAAGCAGAGAGAGAACGGGCCAGGUUACCACCUUUAGACAAACCCCACCUCCCAACACCUUGCCCUGGGACCAAGACUUAUAACACUUGGGUUUAUGGAGGAACAUUCUAGAGCACUCUGUUAGGAGACACCUGCUAGGAGACAGAGAGCUUGGGGUUGACGCCGUCCUGUGAUGCUGUCCCACGUCCCAUUGCAUGCAGGUGGAGAUGACCUCGGAGCUCUUCAGUGUCUUGAUGCAGAGGCUCUGCAAAGAGGGGCCGGCAGCCACCACCUCCAUGGCCUAUGCCAAGCUGAUGCUGACGGUGAUGACCAAGUACCAGGCCAGCAUCUCACAGCAGCAGAGUCUGGACCUGGCUGUGGCCCUAGAGCCCAACACCACCUUCCUGAAGAAGUCCCUGCAGGCAGCCCUGAGACAUCUGGCCCGCUGACCACCCACACCCCAGGCUGUGCAGGGGCCAUCUUGUCUCCACAGAGAGCAGAGAGGAGGCCCUGGCUGCUCCUCCACUCCUGACAACAUCUCGAUCCAGGGCCGGUGGAGGAUGAGCGGGAAUCUUUCGCGCUCAUGUGUGUGUUGUGACCCCCUUCUGAACUGAGUAAUUCUGUAAUGGUUCUUAAUAAAGAGAAGACAGUUCAUCCACA
rnacentral:lncRNA from 1 species